AACCCGUGGUGAGGACAAUCUCUCUGAUAUCCCUUGAACCUUUCCCAUGCAGCCUUGAAUGCUUCCGUUGGACCUUGAGCGAAUGUGGAGAUCUUAGCUCGCAGAU
rfam:Arabis alpina cultivar Pajares scaff_60715_1_contig_3, whole genome shotgun sequence.